rnacentral:rRNA from 1 species
GAUGAACGCUAGCGGGAGGCUUAAUACAUGCAAGUCGAGGGGCAGCAUGGGACUUCGGUCCUGAUGGCGACCGGCGCACGGGUGAGUAACGCGUACACGACCUACCUUUAAGUGGGGGAUAGCCUUGGGAAACUGAGAUUAAUACCCCAUGUGAUUGUGUUUAAUAAAGGGACACAAUUAAAGCUCCGGCGCUUAAAGAUGGGUGUGCGUCCCAUUAGCUAGUUGGUGAGGUAACGGCUCACCAAGGCGACGAUGGGUAGGGGGCGUGAGAGCGUGACCCCCCACACGGGUACUGAGACACGGACCCGACUCCUACGGGAGGCAGCAGUAAGGAAUAUUGGACAAUGGGCGCAAGCCUGAUCCAGCCAUCCCGCGUGCAGGAUGACGGCCCUCUGGGUUGUAAACUGCUUUUGUCAGGGAAGAAACCCUUGGAUUUAUCCGAGGCUGACGGUACCUGAAGAAUAAGCACCGGCUAACUCCG